rnacentral:rRNA from 17 species
GUUUCCGUAGGUGAACCUGCGGAAGGAUCAUUAUCGG